GUGUCGCUAGUAAGGGCUGCGUCCCAUUCAGAUGCUCCGGCUUCAGGGCCCGGACGUUACAGCUGCUGUCUCACCGGCAGAGCUGAACGGUGCGGAGCCAUCAUUCACGAUAUUAGUUCCACCCGAGCGUGUCGCUGCUGUAGGAAGGUUUAGAGAGAAGACCAGGUCCAUUUGCUGGGUUUUUCCACCCCAGGAAAUUUAAAUCGGUUCAUCUUAAGUGAGGGAGGGAAAAAAAAGCUUUUUAUUUUUACCCGGUGAGCAGGUGAACAACAGUCCGUGCAGGACCCUGCGCCUCCGUCGGCGGGAUUUCGGGGAGUCCAGCAACAGGCAAACCCACUGUGGGGAAACGGAGGACAGAGCAGCUGGAUGGAGACCGGGAGGCUGCAGGGUUAAAUCCUGAAGCAGAAGGCAAGACAUGGGCAGGGAAGACGAACCUCCUCCUCCUCCCCCUAGUUGCUCAGUGGUGUGUUUUUAAGCUUACAGCCGAAGAGACAUCAGAGAAAAGAGCAAAGCUGACCCAUGUCCAAAACAACUAACUGCUGAUGAAUGCCAUAAGAGAAGCUCUGGAAAACCCAGGUACUCGGCAGUGUUUGGAUCGCUCACCUUGCAGCAUGGGCUGUUGGCGGUGAAACUCCAGCGGAGCCACGAUGAAGCUGGUCUGGCCUAGCGGGUUCCAGUGG